GUAUUUUUCUCUUUCUCUUGAAAAAAACCCACCGGAAAAUUGCUUUUCAAACCCACCGGAAAAUUCGACGCCUUUCUCAUACUCUCACUCUGUUUAUUUCUCAUUUACCAUGGAUUUAGGAAAGAGUUGCAGGGUUUAGGAAAGAGUUGUACUUCAUCAAAUUCUUCAAAAAGCUCUCGAAAGGAUUAUGGAUAAUCUAGAGCGUGGUUGGAUGUACGAUAGGUUGGAUGGUCGAGGGGGUAUUAAUUCUAGUUUCAUAAGCUGGUGUUAAUAAGUUUCUUGAGUUCUCAUGUUCUCAGAGAAACCGCAUGAGUGGUGACGAUGUCAAAUGUCCGUGUAAAAAAUGUCACAAUAUUAAAUUCAUGGAUGUUGAAACCGUUAAAUUGCACCUUCAAUCGUUUGGAUUUGUUGAGAACUAUUUUGUUUGGAAGUAUCAAGGGAAAAAGAAGUGACCGGUGAGAUGUAUAGUGAUUUACAUGGUGGUACUCAACUUUGAAUUGGGAUAUGAUAAUCCAUAUCGCCAAAUGGUUUUAGAUGCUUUGGACCGAACUUUGGCCGAGGUUCGAGUAAUACUGAACCUGAGUCAUCUCAUCACUGUGAACCUUUGGUGGAGGAGGAAUCUAAUCCUUCAAUGGAGGAGGAGCCUAAUCUUGAGUCCCAGAGGUUUUAUGAUUUGCUACAAGCCGCUGAUGCAAAAUUGUAUCCUGGUUCUUCCCUCUCUCAACUCGCAGUAGUUUCUAGGAUGUUAAAUAUUAAAAGUGAGAAUACUUUGUCACAGAGGGGUUAUAAUCAAAUUAUGCAACUAUUGAAAGAGGCUUUACCUGAAGAUAACAGAGUGCUUGAUAGUUAUUAUCAGACCAAGAAGCUAGUGCGUAGCUUGGGUUUGCCUAUUGAAAAGAUUGAUUGUUGUAAUUCAGGAUGUAUGUUGUAUUGGGGUGAUGAUGAGGACCUAACUUCUUGUAAGUUUUGUGGCUAUGAGAGGUAUAAACGUCGUGUUGGUUCUCGUAAGAGGAAAUUGGUCCCUUACAAGAAAAUGUAUUAUUUCCCUUUGAUUCCUAGAUUGCGGAGAUUAUAUGCGUCUA